UACAGAGGUCCCAAGCGUUGUUCGGAUUCACUGGGCGUAAAGGGUGCGUAGGUGGCGAGGUAAGUCGGAUGUGAAAGCUCGGAGCUCAACUCCGAAAUGGCAUUGGAAACUACCUUGCUCGAGGGUUGGAGGGGGGACUGGAAUGCUUGGUGUAGCAGUGAAAUGCGUAGAUAUCAAGCGGAACACCAGUGGCGAAGGCGAGUCCCUGGACAGCUCCUGACACUGAGGCACGAAAGCGAGGGGAGCAAACAGG
rnacentral:rRNA from 1 species